GACGAACGCUGGCGGCGUGCUUAACACAUGCAAGUCGAACGGUAAGGCCCUUCGGGGUACACGAGUGGCGAACGGGUGAGUAACACGUGGGUGAUCUGCCCUGCACUUCGGGAUAAGCCUGGGAAACUGGGUAUAAUACCGGAUAGGACCACUGCCUGCAUGGGUGGUGGUGGAAAGCUUUUGCGGGGUGGGAUGGGCCCGCGGCCGAUCAGCUUGUUGGUGGGGUGAUGGCCUACCAAGGCGACGACGGGUAGCCGGCCUGAGAGGGUAACCGGACACACGGGGACUGAGAUACGGCCCAUACUCCUACGGGAGGCAGCAGUGGGGAAUAUUGCACAAUGGGCGCAAGCCUGAUGCAGCGACGCCGCGUGAGGGAUGACGGCCUUCGGGUUGUAAACCUCUUUCAGCACCGACGAAGCGCAAGUGACGGUAGGUGCAGAAGGAGGACCGGCCAACUACGUGCCAGCCGCCGCUGUAA
rnacentral:rRNA from 1 species